rnacentral:rRNA from 1 species
UCAAAGAUUAAGCCAUGCAAGUGAAAGUAUAUGCAUAUUUUAUAUGUAGAAACUGCGAACGGCUCAUUAAAACAGUUAUAAUCUACUUGACAUUUUUUCUAUAAGGAUAACUACGGAAAAGCUGUAGCUAAUACUUGCUUUAGCACUCUUGAUUAAGUUCUUGAGUGUGUACUUGUUAAGCCUUUUAAGAAAAAAGUUAUUAACUUAAGGAAUUAUAACAAAGAAGCAACACGUAAAUGGAUUUUCCAUUUUUUAGUGUGUAUCAAUCGAGUUUCUGACCUAUCAGCUUUUGAUGUUAGGGUAUUGGCCUAACAUGGCUAUGACGGGUAACGGGGAAUUAGAGUUCGAUUCCGGAGAGGGAGCCUGAGAAAUAGCUACCACAUCUAAGGAAGGCAGCAGGCGCGUAAAUUACCCAAUUCUAAAGAAGAGAGGUAGUGACAAGAAAUAACAAUACAAGGCCAAUCUGGCUUUGUAAUUGGAAUGAUGGGAAUUUAAAACCUUCCCAAAACUCAAUUGGAGGGCAAGUCUGGUGCCAGCAGCCGCGGUAAUUCCAGCUCCAAUAGCGUAUAUUAAAAUUGUUGCAGUUAAAACGCUCGUAGUUGAAUUUCAAAGAAUCGAUAUUUUAAGUAGCACUUUGUAGAUUAAUCCACAUAACUGAUACUACGUAUCGACUUUGUGAGCAUUUUUCUACUUAUGUGUUCUUUUAAUUAAAAUGAUUCUUUUUAAGAUCUUUCUUUUUUGCUUCGGCAUUUUAGGAGAUCUUGUUACUUUGAGUAAAUUAGAGUGUUCAAAGCAAACAGAUUAUAGCAUCUUUAUGCGUUUGAAUACUAUAGCAUGGAAUAACAAAAUUGAACAAGUCAGAAUUUUGUUCUUUUUUCUUAUUUUGGCUUAGUUACGAUUAAUAGGAGUAGCUUGGGGGCAUUUGUAUUCAGAUGUCAGAGGUGAAAUUCUUAGAUUUUCUGGAGACAAACAACUGCGAAAGCAUUUGCCUAAAAUACUUCCAUUAAUCAAGAACGAAAGUUAAGGGAGUGAAGACGAUCAGAUACCGUCGUAAUCUUAACCAUAAACUAUGCCGACUAGGCUUUGGAUGAAAGAUUUUAAAAUAAGAGUUUUUUCUCUGAGGAGUUAAAACUCUUAGAUUGCUUCCUUCAGUGCCUUAUGAGAAAUCAAAGUCUUUGGGUUCUGGGGCGAGUAUUCGCGCAAGCGAGAAAGUUAAAAGAAUUGACGGAAGGGCACCACCAGGCGUGGAGCUUGCGGCUUAAUUUGACUCAACACGGGAAAACUCACUAGUUUAAGACAAGAGUAGGAUUGACAGAUUAAUAGCUCUUUCUUGAUUUCUUGGAUGGUGAUGCAUGGCCGUUUUUAGUUCGUGAAUAUGAUUUGUCUGGUUAAUUCCGAUAACGAACGAGAUCUUAACCUGCUAAUUAGCGGCAAAUACGAUAUAUUCUUAUGUGGAAUUGAAUAUAGUUGAUUUGCUUAUUUUGAAGAAAAUAUUGGGAUACGUAAAUGUAUCCCUUUCCCUUUUCUACUUAAUUUGCUUAUCAUACUAUUUCUUUUUUGCGUAAGAAUGUAUUUGCUUGAUUGUAAAGCUUCUUAGAGGAACGAUGUGUGUCUAACACAAGGGAGUUUAAGGCAACAACAGG